ACGCUCGACACCUACGGGAGCAGCAGUGGGGAAUAUUGCACAAUGGGGGAAACCCUGAUGCAGCGACGCCGCGUGAGUGAAGAAGUAUUUCGGUAUGUAAAGCUCUAUCAGCAGGGAAGAAGAUGACGGUACCUGAGUAAGAAGCCCCGGCUAACUACGUGCCAGUAGCCGCCGGGUAAGUACUUCGAGCGGGCGUGGCGAAGGACG
rnacentral:rRNA from 1 species